rnacentral:rRNA from 1 species
GAUGAACGCUGGCGGAGGGAGGAACACAGGCAAGUCGAACGGAAAGGCUCCUGCUUGCAGGGGUACUCGAGUGGCGAACGGGUGAGUAACACGUGGGUGAUCUGCCCUGCACUUCGGGAUAAGCCUGGGAAACUGGGUCUAAUACCGGAUAGGACGAUGGUUUGGAUGCCAUUGUGGAAAGUUUUUCGGUGUGGGAUGAGCUCGCGGCCUAUCAGCUUGUUGGUGGGGUAAUGGCCUACCAAGGCGUCGACGGGUAGCCGGCCUGAGAGGGUGUACGGCCACAUUGGGACUGAGAUACGGCCCAGACUCCUACGGGAGGCAGCAGUGGGGAAUAUUGCACAAUGGGCGCAAGCCUGAUGCAGCGACGCCGCGUGGGGGAUGACGGCCUUCGGGUUGUAAACUCCUUUCGCUAGGGACGAAGCGUUUUGUGACGGUACCUGGAGAAGAAGCACCGGCUCCCUACGUC